GAUGAACGCUGGCGGCGUGCCUAAUACAUGCAAGUCGAGCGAACGGACGAGAAGCUUGCUUCUCUGAUGUUAGCGGCGGACGGGUGAGUAACACGUGGAUAACCUACCUAUAAGACUGGGAUAACUUCGGGAAACCGGAGCUAAUACCGGAUGAUAUUUUGAACCGCAUGGUUCAAAAGUGAAAGACGGUCUUGCUGUCACUUAUAGAUGGAUCCGCGCUGCAUUAGCUAGUUGGUAAGGUAACGGCUUACCAAGGCAACGAUGCAUAGCCGACCUGAGAGAGUGAUCGGCCACACUGGAACUGAGACACGGUCCAGACUCCUACGGGAGGCAGCAGUAGGGAAUCUUCCGCAAUGGGCGAAAGCCUGACGGAGCAACGCCGCGUGAGUGAUGAAGGUCUUCGGAUCGUAAAGCUCUGUUAUUAGGAAAGAACAUAUGUGUAAGCAACUGUGCACAUCUUGACGGUACCUAAUCAGAAAGCCACGGCUAACUACGUG
rnacentral:rRNA from 1 species